UACAGAGGGUGCAAGCGUUAAUCGGAAUUACUGGGCGUAAAGCGUGCGUAGACGGUUAUGUAAGUCAGGUGUGAAAGCCCCGGGCUCAACCUGGGAAUGGCAUUUGAGACUGCAUAGCUAGAGUGGCAGAGAGGAAAGCGGAAUUCCCGGUGUAGUGGUGAAAUGCGUAGAUAUCGGGAGGAACACCAGAGGCGAAGGCGGCUUUCUGGCUGCUAACUGACGCUGAGGCGCGAAGGCUGGGGUAGCGAACAGG
rnacentral:rRNA from 1 species